GCCUGAGAUGGCUGCGGAUCUCGCUGGCCCAGUGGGUGGGCGCGGGGGACGCGGGAGGGGCCGAGCUCACCGGGCCAGCGCCGGGGCCUGCAGGUGGCCCUGGAGGAAUCUUCAAGCACCCGCCCGUGCAGCGGGCCUUCCGGGAGACCAGUGUGGACAGCGCCCUGGACACGCCCUUCCCAGCUGGAACAUUUGUGAGGCUGGAAUUUAAGCUCCGGCAGACAGAGAAGCGGCCGGAGGAAAGACUGGAAGAAACCCAAGUGCAAAGUCCAGCCCGAGAGGAGGAAGCAGAAAUGCCUGACCUGCGUCAAACUGGAAUGUGAGGAUAAGGUUCUGGGCAGGAUGGUCGCUGCCCUCCAGAGGCGCAGACUCGGCGGGAGCCUGAGGAGCACCAGGAGGCCGGGUGCAGCCGGGCGGGGCGGGCGGUGAGGACCCCACAGCUGCUGCUUCCCUGCACAGUUCGCCUUCUCCAAGGCCCGGC
rnacentral:lncRNA from 1 species